rnacentral:rRNA from 1 species
UACAGAGGUCUCAAGCGUUGUUCGGAUUCAUUGGGCGUAAAGGGUGCGUAGGCGGCGCGGUAAGUCGGGUGUGAAAUCUCGGAGCUUAACUCCGAAACUGCAUUCGAUACUGCCGUGCUUGAGGACUGGAGAGGAGACUGGAAUUUACGGUGUAGCGGUGAAAUGCGUAGAUAUCGUAAGGAAGACCAGUGGCGAAGGCGGGUCUCGUGGACAGUUCCUGACGCUGAGGCACGAAGGUCAGGGGAGCAAACGGGG